UGUUUUUAGAAAAUCAAGAUUUCAUUGGUGUCAAAGAACAUAUUGAUAUUAUUUACCGGUACAAUUUUUAUUUUUUCUAUUUUGCAUAAUAUUUGCUGCUUUGAUGCGGUGGAUAAUCAGAAAACACCCUGAGAACACUAAGUAAAUUAUGAGAAGGUGUUCCAAGGUCAAAGUUUCGCAAUCUUCUGAGAGAAAUAUAACAUUUCACUAGUCUAAGUGUUGUAACGUGUUUUCUUAGCGUAGGUAUACAGUUACAGUAUAUCAGUGGCACAUAGAUACAACCAAUUGAGAACUUAUGUGAUGCUAACAUGGGGCUACUUACAUUUCUGAAGCGAAACAAAAUAUUAGCAGUUACAGCUCCCAUGGUGAUUGCCAUUCAUUACGUCUGGUACAAUUUACAGUACGAUUCUACAUUUGUUUCUGAGGACGCAAGGAGGAUUACCUUAUUUGGACUUCACUUGGAUAAGGAACGCUUUGGAGAGAUAGAAAAGAAAGAAGAUUAAUAAAUAAUACAUUGCUAUUUGCCAGUAUAAAAUUUAAUUCAAGAUCAAACAUGGGGGUAUUUAAGAAUAUGUGGAUGCAGGCUUCUAUGUUUACAGUACGUCACAAGUUUAUUUCAUUGGUUGUCAUUGUUGGGGCUUGUUACAUUAGCACAAUUCAGUUGACAGAAGCAAAGGUACCAAGCAUCUCUGAGAGAAUCAAGGAAGAAAUGGACAUUAAUCAAAAGACAUCUGAAGAGUUAACGAAAUGAAGUAUACUGAUGUUAAGAAAUGGGUGCGGUCGCACAAGCUUGCGGCAGUCCUUAUAGGCAUAGGUAGCAUCCAUGCAACUCUUUACACAAUGCAAAAGCUAAUCAAAAUAAACACUCAUCAGAAAAAGACUGAUAUUAGAAACUUAAAAUAGAAUAUUGUAUUUUUACGAGUGCACAUAGAACUGAAAAACUGUAAAAAUUGAACUAUUGUAAUGCCAGGACAGUGAAUUCAUCAACAAAAUAUUUAUCAUAAUUGCACUCCAAAAUGUCUUCUCGAGUGAAGAAAGAUAAAAAACAAACUUCAUCCAUAGAUUUUCUACCAUUACACAAUAAAGGAACUCUGGAGGCAGUUAGGAUCCUAAGGGAUAUAGCCAGAGAAUCUUAUGGACCAUUUGGAAAAUUAAAUAUGGUUCAGAAUACAAUCGGAGGACAUGUAACUGUGACAUCAUCAUCGAAUCGACUUUUUCAAGCAAUAUCUGUGUCUGAUGUAAUUGUGAAGUUAAUUACAACUUCAUUGCAAGGUCACAUUGCCACACAUGGAGAUGCCGGAUUGUGGGGUACAAUAAUGGCAAUUAACCUCAUUGAGAAGUCUCCAAUUGAGAAUACACAUCCUCAUCUCCUUGUAGAUAUCUAUGAAAUGCUACUUCAGUAUUCAAUGGACUUCUUGAAGUCUCCAGAAUGCCCUGCUGUGUUAGACAUUGACAUAAGUGAUAUGAACACAAUGAGAGAUGUGAUUCGUUGUGUAGUGAACUCUAAACCAGCAUGUGGAUUACUGGAGUAUGAACAGGAUAACAUAUGUAGCAUAAUCCUGGAGGCAUUUCUGAAAUCAAUACCAAGCAGCUGUGAUAACAGUUUGAAGUUCUUCUCAGUGAAUUCCGUAAGCAUGGAAGGUUUAGGAGCAAACAAUAUGAAACUUUAUGAUGGAGUCUUACUUGAAGCACCAUCUAUACCAACAUACUUGAAAAACCCACUUAGUUACCUUAACCUGCCUGUUUCUGAGAUCCCUGUUGCCAUAGUAACCACGUCGAUGGGUGGAGACUCUGAGGAUUUCUUGGAUAUUAAAUAUGAAUCAGGGGAGCAAACUGAUGGACAUGCUUUAGUAUUAGACACCAUUUUGAAAGGACUCGCUAACAUGGUCCAGAGUUCAGUCAGGGUCUUGAUUUGUCAGAAGGUGGCCCACCCUAGAGUUAAAGCCUACUGUACAGAGCAAGGUGUGAUGCUACUAGACCGUCUAGGCAUUUCUCAUAUGGAAAGUCUGUGUCAACUUACAGGAGCUAGAAAAAUCAGUAGCUUCAGUUCAUACAUAGAUGAGGGAUUAUAUGGGAGCAUUGAUAGUGCGAAUCACCUUGUAAUGGCUGGGAAGUCCUACGUGCACCUAACUAGAACUCAGUCUGGUGUCACCACUGUUCUCCUGGCAGGGCGGAGGGAAGAAGCACUUAACGAAUUGAAGGUUGUUUGUGACACUGCUUUGAGGUCACUUCGCCAGUUGCUAUGGCAACCCAAGAUGCUAUAUGGAGGUGGUUGCUGGGAAACUAUUCUGUCUGCUCAUAUCAACUAUUUGAUAUCUAGUAAAAUGUCUGAACUGACAGAGCAGCUAGGCUGUUCAAGGCACCAGCUUAGGCAGGCAGCUGAGGCAUUUACACACUCUUUACAUGAUAUUGCAAUGGCAACAAGUGACACGAAACUGAACCAUAAACUGGACAUGAAGUAUGGACACCAUUGGAUAGCAGAGAAUGGAAACGAUGAUUAUGCAUCAUGUAUGUGUGGCGCAAUUACUAGGGACAAUGCCUUGGUUUUUAAAAUGUUGGGAAAUCUUGGAAUCAUGGAUAUCAAUUCAGAUACAGCACCAGAAAAGGCCAUUGACAUUGAGGAUGGUAGAAGAAUGUUGCUAGACAAUUUGCCUGCACAUUUGGGUGCACUUUUGAUGGCAGUUAAUACAGCAUCUGCCAUCCUGAAGAUACACUGUAUUGUAAAGGAUAGAAACUGACAAACUUAUUAUCAAAAAGAUUUGCCAUGGUUAUCAUGCUAUUCCAUGCUUCGUCUUGGAAUUAAUUUUUUUUUUUCAUUUGCAUAACAUUUUUUCAAAUAUGGCUAUGAUGCAUUUUAAGUUGACUUUGUUGAUAAUUUCACAUGUUCCUCAAAAACAUUUGUAUGUAGAUAAAACUAUCAGAAUUAAAAAAUAUGAUUUAACAAUAAAUACCAUGUUUAAGAAUUAAGAAAUAUGAUAAAUAAAUAUUAUGUUAAUGAAUUCACAUAAA
rnacentral:misc_RNA from 1 species